GACUGGGGCGGUCGCCUCCCAAAAGGUAACGGAGGCGUGCAAAGGUUUCCUCAGGUUGGUUGGAAAUCAACCUUCGAGCGCAAAGGUAUAAGGAAGCUUGAUUGCGAGACCUACAAGUCGAGCAAAGACGAAAGUCGGCCUUAGUGAUCCGACACUACCGAGUGGAAGGAGUGUCGCUCAACGGAUAAAAGUUACUCUAGGGAUAACAGGCUGAUCUCUCCCAAGAGUUCAUAUCGACGGAGAGGUUUGGCACCUCGAUGUCGGCUCAUCGCAUCCUGGGGCGGUAGUACGUCCCAAGGGUUGGGCUGUUCGCCCAUGAAAGCGGU
rnacentral:rRNA from 1 species